UUGAAACGCGAAUAAUGAAGGAAAUAAUGCAUCAACGGUGGGAAAGCCGUGUACACGUUUGUUUAUUCUAAAGAAUAUUAACAAUGUCUCAUCGUUUUAGAACAUUGUUGCUUAUUUUGGAAUUUUCUAGACAUGCCAUGAAUAAAAUUAGUUUCGUGUAGCAUGUUUAUAUUAUAAGUUCAUGUGUGUGUAUGUAUAUUGGGGGUCGAAUAUGCUUUAUAAACUUUGCCUUAAGAGAAAAAAAUAAAAAUAAAAGGAUCGAACAAAAAAGAUGACCAAUUAAAUUAAUAUACGUAUACUUUGAAAUAGAUUCUUGGUUAUCUUUUUAAGUUUUUUAUACAUUCAGGCUGAUGUGUAAAUAUAUUCUCGCACAUAAGAGUUUUUUUCCUAUUGCACUACGUACUAACUUAUACUUCCUUUU
rnacentral:lncRNA from 1 species